rnacentral:rRNA from 1 species
GACGAACGCUGGCGGCGUGCUUAACACAUGCAAGUCGAACGGAAAGGCCCUGCUUUUGUGGGGUGCUCGAGUGGCGAACGGGUGAGUAACACGUGAGUAACCUGCCCUUGACUUUGGGAUAACUUCAGGAAACUGGGGCUAAUACCGGAUAGGAGCUCCUGCUGCAUGGUGGGGGUUGGAAAGUUUCGGCGGUUGGGGAUGGACUCGCGGCUUAUCAGCUUGUUGGUGGGGUAGUGGCUUACCAAGGCUUUGACGGGUAGCCGGCCUGAGAGGGUGACCGGCCACAUUGGGACGGAGAUACGGCCCAGACUCCUACGGGAGGCAGCAGUGGGGAAUAUUGCACAAGGGGCGGAAGCCUGAGGCAGCAACGCCGCGUGCGGGAGGACGGCCUUCGGGUGGUAAACCGCUUUCGCCUGUGACGAAGCGUGAGUGACGGUAAUGGGUAAAGAAGCACCGGCUAACUACGU